rnacentral:rRNA from 1 species
UACGGAGGGUGCGAGCGUUGUCCGGAAUCACUGGGCGUAAAGGGCGCGUAGGCGGCCCGCGCAAGCGUGCGGUGAAAGCCCGGGGCUCAACCCCGGGUCGGCCGUGCGGACUGCGGGGCUCGAGCACUGUAGGGGCAGAUGGAAUUCCUGGUGUAGCGGUGAAAUGCGCAGAUAUCAGGAGGAACACCGGUGGCGAAGGCGGGUCUCUGGGCCGAUACUGACGCUGAGGCGCGACAGCGUGGGGAGCAAACAGG